rnacentral:rRNA from 1 species
AUUGAACGCUGGCGGCAGGCCUAACACAUGCAAGUCGAACGAGUGGCGGACGGGUGAGUAAUGUCUGGGAAACUGCCCGAUGGAGGGGGAUAACUACUGGAAACGGUAGCUAAUACCGCAUACCAUCGGAUGUGCCCAGAUGGGAUUAGCUAGUAGGUGGGGUAACGGCUCACCUAGGCGACGAUCCCUAGCUGGUCUGAGAGGAUGACCAGCGACAAUGGAACGGAGAAAGGGGACAGACGCAUACGGGAGGCAGCAGUGGGGAAUAUUGCACAAUGGGCGCAAGCAUGAUGCAGCCAUGCCGCGUGUAUGAAGAAGGCCGUCGGGUUGUAAAGUAAUUUCAGCGAGGAGGCGUUACUCGCAGAAGAAGCACCGGCUAACUCCGUGCCAGCAGCCGCGGUAAUUC